AGAGAAGAAAGCUAACCUAAUCCCUAUUUGCAUAUUCCCCAUCGCCACUCUCCUUUUUUUCACCCUCUGCAGCCACUCUCCCUUCUCACCAGCCUAUUCAACCCUCUCUCUCUCACCGUGCCGCCAUCCCUCAUCACUCUACCUUCUCACCCGCGCCGUCACCAGUCUCUCUGUUUGCGGCGUCGUCAAUUCCCCUCUCUACCGCCGCGGCAAUUCUGGUCUCCGCCACCUCGUCCGUUCUCCUCUCCGCUGCGCGUCUCAUACUUCAUCCUUAGUCCUCUGCUCUACACUCUGCUUUGCAUGUUUGUCGCCAGCUCGCAUCCAAUAGGAAGAAGCCGCCGUCUGCCGUUGACAACAUCCCGCCGAAGCCGUGGGUUGUCCCUCCUCCAGUCCUCUUCCACUUCCACUUGGCUUCAAUUGCCGUCGUCCUCCAUCCAAAAUAGCAGCAUGUACCAGAAAUAGAGCCUUCGUGUCGGGUUGAUUAUUGUUCUGUCCCUUUUGAUUUCAGAUGUAGUCACACUACAAGAAUUUUCCAUGCUAAGCCACUGAAAUCGAGAGAAAGCGCCUCUUCGUGAACGACGUUGUCGCCGCAUUCGUUUCUGCCAUUGCCUCCUCUUCGCAACACCGCACCUCCGCCGCUUGCACUGCCGCCAAAUUUUGUUGUUGUCACCGUCGCCAAAGGUUGUUGCUGGUAUUCUUUUUUUCUUUGAUGGCCAAACUUGUUGCUCGUUGCUCAGCUUGCUCUCCAUGGCCGCCAUUUGAAGAAGGUCCAGAAAAUUCAGUUAUUAACACCAAAUAUAGGGGUUGUAUAAAGGUAUACUAAAAUAGAUGAUUCUUCUCAUAUUUUGUGCACAAUAAUAAAAGGGAAGAAUGAUGGAAAAAAAAAUAAUAUUUCUACCUUACCCAGCAGUAUAUUAGCAAAUCAACCAACUAUGUUUGUGAACAUAGAUACUGAUGUGGAUACCUAUAGUUUUGAAGAAGCAAGUAUGUGGGUUAAUACAUUUAUCUCACUAUAUCAACUACUAAGUCUUAGGUGUUGUUUUUUUUUUAUUUAUUUUUAAUGUGUAAUGAGAAAUUGAGAUGUAUAAUAUAUAAUGAAUUUUAUGAAAGCAGAAUCACAUUUGUGCAA